UUUGAUCAUGGCUCAGGACGAACGCUGGCGGCGUGCUUAACACAUGCAAGUCGAGCGGUAAGGCCUUUCGGGGUACACGAGCGGCGAACGGGUGAGUAACACGUGGGUGAUCUGCCCUGCACUUCGGGAUAAGCCUGGGAAACUGGGUCUAAUACCGGAUAUGACCUCAUGUUGCAUGAUUUGGGGUGGAAAGAUUUAUCGGUGCAGGAUGGGCCCGCGGCCCUAUCAGCUUGUUGGUGGGGUAAUGGCCUACCAAGGCGACGACGGGUAGCCGACCUGAGAGGGUGACCGGCCACACUGGGACUGAGACACGGCCCAGACUCCUACGGGAGGCAGCAGUGGGGAAUAUUGCACAAUGGGCGAAAGCCUGAUGCAGCGACGCCGCGUGAGGGAUGACGGCCUUCGGGUUGUAAACU
rnacentral:rRNA from 1 species